rnacentral:rRNA from 1 species
GACGAACGCUGGCGGCGUGCUUAACAUAUUCAAGUCGAACGGAAAGGCCCUGCUUUUGUUGGUUGCUCGAGUGGCGAACGUGUGUGUAUCACGUGAGUAACUUGCCCUUGACUUUGGGAUAACUUCAUUAAUCUUGGGCUAAUACCGGAUUUUAUCUCCUGCUUCAUUGUGGUUGUUUGUAAUUUUCGUCGGUUGGGGAUGGACUCGCGGCUUAUUAGGUUGUUGGUGGGUUAGUGUCUUACCAAGGCUUUGACGGGUAGCAGGCCUGAGAGGGUGACCGGACAAAUUGGGACAGAGAGACGGACCAGACUCCUAAGGGAGGCAGCAGUGGGGAAGGUUGCACAAUGGGCGAAAGCCUGAUGCAGAAAGGCCGCGUGCGGGAUGACGGCAUUAGGGUUGUAAACCGCAGUCGCAUGUGGAGAAGAGAGAGUGACGGUAAUGGGUAAAGAAGAACCGGCUAACUACGUG